CACGAACAAAACGGUAUAUCAAUAUCUAACUACCUUGCCGGCUAUGAUUUCAAUAAGUAAAAUAAUAAAACACAAACCUGUCGUGUUAUCAUAAUUCUCUCUGGUUUCUUCUUGGCAAUAUUUCGGUAUAACAGCCAUGGCUUUGUAGCCUCCUCUAUGCUUUAUUUUCUUCACAUGGCUUCGUAGCGUAGCUCCGUAAACUGUCGUGCCGACUAUGGAAUGUCUCGCAACUCCCACGUUGAUUUGAGGCUCAAACGUCUCGUUACAUAAAACAGAUUUAUCGUUCAUAAUUUCUGCCUUAUGUUAUGAUUUCUGACUCGUCGUGUACAUUGGCAUGUUUGAGCAUGUAGAUGUUUGUUUUUUCCGGUUUAACUUAUACACGAGACUCAGUUCUAGAACCCACGACUCGAAUUUAGAUUUCGCGAAACAAUGUCUUUUGCUUAUAGCGUAAAUUUCAAAUUUACUGAUACGCGAAAACGUAAGAUUUAGUAAGGCGAAUCACUGCAUAUAAUCGAUGCCAGUGUUGUACAAUUUUCCCACACUUGAAGUGUGAAUAUAAUCACUCUCGUUUUAAGCCACAAGUUCUAGUAAAUCUUGUCUUAAACUGCUUUGUCGUACAGGAUUAGUAUAAGAAUUUUCGUAUCAGAUUUCCUUCGACUAUUUUCACAACGUUGUACUUGUCUUUUAACUUGUGAUGUCUUUUUCACGAAACAUAUAGCAUACAGUUUGUUACACGACGUUUUCAACAGACACCAAAUACAACAAUUCCGCUUUUCAGAUCGUUUGGUAUGUUUCGAGUUUUUAAGAAUUUCGUGUAUUUGUCCCACGCCCUAUAUGCUAAUGAGAUUCACCGUCAUGAGUGUACUGUCGACACCUCCCAGUUUAGAAUCCUUCACAAAGUUUAAUUUUAUUAAAUAAUAUUUUUCAACUUCCUCUUGUUUUCCUUGUAAGAUUUGCGGUCCUUUUGUUUGCUAUCUUGACGUCUAUUGACUGUCACGAGUGUAGUUGACUUGCCUUGAUUGAUCCGCCAGUACUGCUGUGACUGCUGUGGAUUAUAUAGUUUUCUACUUUUUAAGAGUAUUUAUUGUCAGUAUUUAAAACUAUUUGUUGUCAGUAUUUAAAAGUAUCUGUUGUCAGUAUUUAAAAGUAUUUAUUGUCAGUAUUUAAAAGUAUUUGUUGUCAGUAUUUAAAAGUAUUUGUUAUCAGUAUUUAAAAGUAUUUGUUGUCAGUAUUAAAAAGUAUUUGUUGUCAGUAUUUAAAAGUGGCCAUGAAAAAGAAACUAGCUCUUCAGUAUUCUGUGGGUAUAUCUUCUUAACACCUAGAACAGGAAGUCGCAGUUAGCGAUUACCAGAGGAUGGAUGAGAUAAUACUAUAUCAGUUUUUGAAUGUAUACUUCUUUUGUUUUAAAAUUGGUGAGAAAAAAAGAACUCUGUUUUCAGUGUUUAAAAGUGGCCCUCGAGAAACUCCAGAACAAUGAAUGUUUUCGCUGUAGCCAAUACGAAACUUUCUCAGUAUGGCGCGAGAAUCCUGCACUUGGCAGUGUCUUUCAGGUGACACGUGACGAGAUCCGUCAGGAAUACGUCAUCAAAAUACAGCCGAGCACACGAGCUGACACUACGUAUAAACCACAACGAGUAUGAUGUAAUAAGGCUACCAAUAGAAUGCCUUCUCUUCCCCAGUUCGUUAACACACUGUGGUGCCAAAUUCUGUCAAGUUAUUCGCCUCUGUAAUUUCUUAAUUCUGUGUUGGUAAUUUGAUAAAAAUCUUACAGAUAAACCUUUUGCUAUUUGCCCGUAUUUGCCUUUCCGCGUAUACAAAUAUAAUUUGAUUUCACAGAUAAUAAAAUACCAGACAGGUUCCUUCUUUAUCUAUAUACCGUCUCACGUAGCCAAUUAACACAUCCUGAUGUUGUAAACACGUUCAGAAAUCCAGCAUCUUGUGAGAACGUACAAGUUUCCUAACUUCGAAAAUUUUGUUCAGCUCUGGUUCAGGUCUAUUCUAGAAUCAUAAUUUAUAUUCCCGUGACUGCAAUUUUCAAUCAGAGUGUCGGUACUUCACUCAGAAAACCGGUGAAGCAUUCAUUGACCGUUUGGCCAUUCAUUACUACGCUUUCAUUGGAUGCUAGCCUUUCAUACAGCUUUGGCCUCUUCGUUCAAUCAAGGUAGUGAAUCGUACU